GGAAGAGAAAGAAAAUUCGAUUCCCUUAGUAGCGGCGAGCGAAACGGGAAGAGCCCAAACCAAAAAGCUUGCUUGUUGGGGUUGUAGGACACUCUAUACGGAGUUACAAAGGACGACAUUAGACGAAUCAUCUGGAAAGAUGAAUCAAAGAAGGUAAUAAUCCUGUAGUCGAAAAUGUUGUCUCUCUUGAGUGGAUCCUGAGUACGACGGAGCACGUGAAAUUCCGUCGGAAUCUGGGAGGACCAUCUCCUAAGGCUAAAUACUCUCUAGUGACCGAUAGUGAACCAGUACCGUGAGGGAAAGGUGAAAAGCACCCCGGAAGGGGAGUGAAAUAGAACCUGAAACCGUGUGCUUACAAGUAGUCAGAGCCCGUUAAUGGGUGAUGGCGUGCCUUUUGUAGAAUGAACCGGCGAGUUACGAUUUGAUGCAAGGUUAAGCAGUAAAUGUGGAGCCGUAGCGAAAGCGAGUCUGAAUAGGGCGUUUAGUAUUUGGUCGUAGACCCGAAACCAGGUGAUCUACCCUUGGUCAGGUUGAAGUUCAGGUAACACUGAAUGGAGGACCGAACCGACUUACGUUGAAAAGUGAGCGGAUGAACUGAGGGUAGCGGAGAAAUUCCAAUCGAACCUGGAGAUAGCUGGUUCUCUCCGAAAUAGCUUUAGGGCUAGCCUCAAGUGAUGAUUAUUGGAGGUAGAGCACUGUUUGGACGAGGGGCCCCUCUCGGGUUACCGAAUUCAGACAAACUCCGAAUGCCAAUUAAUUUAACUUGGGAGUCAGAACAUGGGUGAUAAGGUCCGUGUUCGAAAGGGAAACAGCCCAGACCACCAGCUAAGGUCCCAAAAUAUAUGUUAAGUGGAAAAGGAUGUGGCGUUGCCCAGACAACUAGGAUGUUGGCUUAGAAGCAGCCAUCAUUUAAAGAGUGCGUAAUAGCUCACUAGUCGAGUGACACUGCGCCGAAAAUGUACCGGGGCUAAACAUAUUACCGAAGCUGUGGAUUGUCCUUUGGACAAUGGUAGGAGAGCGUUCUAAGGGCGUUGAAGCAUGAUCGUAAGGACAUGUGGAGCGCUUAGAAGUGAGAAUGCCGGUGUGAGUAGCGAAAGACGGGUGAGAAUCCCGUCCACCGAUUGACUAAGGUUUCCAGAGGAAGGCUCGUCCGCUCUGGGUUAGUCGGGUCCUAAGCUGAGGCCGACAGGCGUAGGCGAUGGAUAACAGGUUGAUAUUCCUGUACCACCUAUAAUCGUUUUAAUCGAUGGGGGGACGCAGUAGGAUAGGCGAAGCGUGCGAUUGGAUUGCACGUCUAAGCAGUAAGGCUGAGUAUUAGGCAAAUCCGGUACUCGUUAAGGCUGAGCUGUGAUGGGGAGAAGACAUUGUGUCUUCGAGUCGUUGAUUUCACACUGCCGAGAAAAGCCUCUAGAUAGAAAAUAGGUGCCCGUACCGCAAACCGACACAGGUAGUCAAGAUGAGAAUUCUAAGGUGAGCGAGCGAACUCUCGUUAAGGAACUCGGCAAAAUGACCCCGUAACUUCGGGAGAAGGGGUGCUCUUUAGGGUUAACGCCCAGAAGAGCCGCAGUGAAUAGGCCCAAGCGACUGUUUAUCAAAAACACAGGUCUCUGCUAAACCGUAAGGUGAUGUAUAGGGGCUGACGCCUGCCCGGUGCUGGAAGGUUAAGAGGAGUGGUUAGCUUCUGCGAAGCUACGAAUCGAAGCCCCAGUAAACGGCGGCCGUAACUAUAACGGUCCUAAGGUAGCGAAAUUCCUUGUCGGGUAAGUUCCGACCCGCACGAAAGGCGUAACGAUUUGGGCACUGUCUCAACGAGAGACUCGGUGAAAUCAUAGUACCUGUGAAGAUGCAGGUUACCCGCGACAGGACGGAAAGACCCCGUGGAGCUUUACUGUAGCCUGAUAUUGAAAUUCGGCACAGCUUGUACAGGAUAGGUAGGAGCCUUUGAAACGUGAGCGCUAGCUUACGUGGAGGCGCUGGUGGGAUACUACCCUAGCUGUGUUGGCUUUCUAACCCGCACCACUUAUCGUGGUGGGAGACAGUGUCAGGCGGGCAGUUUGACUGGGGCGGUCGCCUCCUAAAAGGUAACGGAGGCGCUCAAAGGUUCCCUCAGAAUGGUUGGAAAUCAUUCAUAGAGUGUAAAGGCAUAAGGGAGCUUGACUGCGAGACCUACAAGUCGAGCAGGGUCGAAAGACGGACUUAGUGAUCCGGUGGUUCCGCAUGGAAGGGCCAUCGCUCAACGGAUAAAAGCUACCCCGGGGAUAACAGGCUUAUCUCCCCCAAGAGUUCACAUCGACGGGGAGGUUUGGCACCUCGAUGUCGGCUCAUCGCAUCCUGGGGCUGUAGUCGGUCCCAAGGGUUGGGCUGUUCGCCCAUUAAAGCGGUACGCGAGCUGGGUUCAGAACGUCGUGAGACAGUUCGGUCCCUAUCCGUCGUGGGCGUAGGAAAUUUGAGAGGAGCUGUCCUUAGUACGAGAGGACCGGGAUGGACAUACCUCUGGUGUACCAGUUGUCGUGCCAACGGCAUAGCUGGGUAGCUAUGUGUGGACGGGAUAAGUGCUGAAAGCAUCUAAGCAUGAAGCCCCCCUCAAGAUGAGAUUUCCCAACUUCGGUUAUAAGAUCCCUCAAAGAUGAUGAGGUUAAUAGGUUCGAGGUGGAAGCAUGGUGACAUGUGGAGCUGACGAAUACUAAUCGAUCGAAGACUUAAUCAA
rnacentral:rRNA from 1 species